ensembl:lncRNA
GGGUCUUUGAAAUUUUGUGUCUUCUUUGAACAUCCUGAUAGGAAAUGCUGGGGUCAGAAAUCAGACAAGCCUAUUAUUUAUUUGUAGCUGUUCACCUUCUCUGUUUAAGAGUCCUAUUGUGCAUACACAAGCUCUCAUUGUGAACAAAAGGAGCAGUUUGAAUGAAUUAAACAUCUGGAUUACAUCCUUGCUGUCAUGAUCCUGGGUCCGUUUGACCCAGCGUUUUGUGUUUUUCUAUUUAGUGUGAUUUUGGUUCUGUUCUUCCUGUUUACUGUUUACUCUGUUUGGCCCGUGUGUGUCCUUGUAUGUGUAGUUCCUGUUUUAUUGUGAAGGUCUGUGUCUUAUGUCAGUGUGUUCUGUUUACGUUUUCCCCUGCCUCGUCAGUUGUGAUGUCUUCCAGGUGUGUUCCCCUCCUGUUUCCCUUCCCCUGAUUCCUGGCGUGUGUAUUUAUAGUGUGUGUUACCUUGUCCUCGUUGCUGGUUCGUCUGUGUUGUUUCCCUCGGUCUCCCUACGUCUCUCCGGCUUCCUAUGGAUUUCCCUGUGCCUCCCUGCAUAUCUGUUUACGAGCUGCCGCAUCUUGGGUCCUCCCUAUUUCUCCACACGUCUGCCACACCGGACGUGACAGAACGAACCAGCCACCAUGGACCCAGCAGCAGUCAACCCGUCCGAGGAGCUCCGGGACGACAUUGUCUACAAUGUGGAGAUUCUCCUCGGGCUGUGGUUAGAACACCCCCCGGAGGAGCUUCGCCGCGCAGUGGAAAGCCGGCUACAACGGCUCUUUUCCGGCCUGCCCUGGCUAUUGGAGUCGCUUCCCCCGACCAUGCAGGCUUUUCUCCACCUCACACCACACCUUCUCUCUGCCACUACUACCUCGCUGCCCAACCCGCCGGAUGUGGUUUUGCCCGGUCCGUCGGAGCCGUCAGCGGGAAAAAAACGACGAUCGCGCCGCCGGCGCGCCACCCCACAGCCGGACGUUCGGACUUUUAAAUCGCCGGCUGUGGUGAGUGAGGACUCUUUUUUUUUGGACUGUGGGACUAUUUAUUCUGGGGCUGUGUUUGGUGUGUCUGAUACUAAAAUGAACAGCGAUUCGCCCGCUCAGUGGCCUCAAGCCCAGUUAGCUGCCCCGCAGCCACUCUCCGCUCAGUUAGCUGCCCCGCAGCCACUCUCCGCUCAGUU